rnacentral:lncRNA from 1 species
UAAAUGUUGAGCAUAAGCAGGAGAGAUAAAAGAAUGGGUAGAACCAGUAUCUAAUAAGGUAUAGACUUCGCAAAAAUUUAUAAUUAACUAACCCGUGAUACCUUCGUUCGGGUUCUUCGCGUUUUGGGCAGACACGACAAACGCUCUUCCAGAAAUCACCGACUUUGUUUUGUUCGUAUCCGCCUUUGGUGCCACCGUCCCAGCUGGACUUGGUUUUGCUACAGGACAAAAUCGAGCUAUGUGACUGUCUUUUCCAUAACUAAAUCAUACCUUGGAAGGCUGUGAACAAUUUGAACUUAUAUGUCCC